GAUGAAGAACAUAGCGAAAUGCGAUACUUGGUGUGAAUUGCAGAAUCCCGUGAACCAUCGAGUCUUUGAACGCAAGUUGCGCCCGAAGCCGUCAGGCCGAGGGCACGCCUGCCUGGGCGUCACACGCCGUUGCCCCCCCGCGCCCCGCACCCAACUCUUUGGGAGCGACCGCGGGGCGGGCUGAUGAUGGCCUCCCGUGCGCUCCGCCGCGCGGUUGGCCCAAAUACCUAGUCCCCGGCGACGUGCGCCACGACGAUCGGUGGUUGAGAGACCUCUGUCGCAAGUCGUGCGCGCCCGUCGCGUCACGCGGGCUCGCAUAGCGCCUCGCGCCGCACCCGGUGCGGAGCUUUCAACGCGACCCCAGGUCAGGCGGGGUUACCCGCUGAAUUUAAGCAUAUCAAUAAGCGGAGGA
rnacentral:misc_RNA from 1 species